UACGUAGGGUGCGAGCGUUGUCCGGAAUUAUUGGGCGUAAAGGGCUCGUAGGCGGUUUGUCGCGUCGGGAGUGAAAAUCCAGGGCUUAACUCUGGACUGGCUUCCGAUACGGGCAGACUAGAGGUAUGCAGGGGAGAACGGAAUUCCUGGUGUAGCGGUGAAAUGCGCAGAUAUCAGGAGGAACACCGGUGGCGAAGGCGGUUCUCUGGGCAUUACCUGACGCUGAGGAGCGAAAGUGUGGGGAGCGAACAGG
rnacentral:rRNA from 1 species